GGCGAGAUGGCCGAGCGGUCUAAGGCGCCAGACUAAGGCGGUCACAUACCGGUGUCCUCUUGCAAUCUGGUCCUCACGGGCGUGGGUUCGAAUCCCACUCUCGUCA